CCUACGGGAGGCAGCAGUGGGGAAUAUUGCACAAUGGGGGAAACCCUGAUGCAGCAACGCCGCGUGAGCGAUGAAGGCCUUCGGGUCGUAAAGCUCUGUCCUAAGGGAAGAAUACUGACGGUACCUUAGGAGGAAGCCCCGGCUAACUACGGGCAAGCAGCCGCGGUAAUACGUAGGGGGCUAGCGUUAUCCGGAAUUACUGGGCGUAAAGGGUGCGUAGUCGGCCGGUUAAGCCAGGGGGGAAAGGCUACGGCUCAACCGUAGUAAGCACUUGGAACUGAUUGGCUUGAGUGCAGGAGAGGGGAGUGGAAUUCCUAGUGUAGCGGUGAAAUGCGUAGAUAUGAGGAGGAACACCAGUGGCGAAGGCGACUCUCUGGACUGUAACUGACGCUGAGGCACGAAAGCGUGGGGAGCAAACAGGAUUAGAUACCCCAGUAGUC
rnacentral:rRNA from 1 species